rnacentral:tRNA from 1 species
UAAUUCACCAGGUGGUUCAGUUACAGCAGGCCUAAAAAUUAUGGACGCUUUAAACUAUGUAAAAGUAAG